UUUCGUUCUGGACAUCCUAGACAAGUUCUUGCUCAUCGAUUAUGUCCCACAGGCCUCCAAGGCGCGCAUCGUCAUCAUGACCAUCCACCCGCGCACCUAUGAGACCACUAUGACAAGAGUAGCCAUCAUAUCGACGGGUCGGGUGCUGCACCACAGCAAGCAACGUGGACUACUCCCGUACUUCUGCUAUAUCGACUAUCCUUAUCCGGCUUUCUAGAACCCCUUCUGCAACAAUUCGGCCCCCGUGCUGCCUCCCCCGCCUGACCUGCUGAUGACGCACGAGAGGCCAGCAUCGUCUUCGUUCGACAGAUCCGUGGAGGACAGGAACAUGUCGAUCUCGCGCCGUUCGUUGUCGGAACCAAUGAAAAAGAAGACAACGCACACGUAUGUGACUAGCACGGUGAAAGAGGUGAGGACACGAAACGUUGACCUGUUCUGUGCACCAUUAGAAAGCGAGCUUGGCAAAGAGCCAGACACGCUUUCGGCCGUGUACGCGCGCACAUCCGAUGUGAUCGCCUCCGAAAGUGAUCGCCCUAGAAGUGAUUGCCCCAGAUGUUGCUUCCGAACCCCUCGCCAUCCGCGCCUCGAUGAUAGUUGUUCGCCUACCUAGUCCCAUAUACAGCAACGCUAGCUGAAAUGCAAAGGUACGGGCUGUGGUGUUUUGUGGCAUGACAAGUAUAGGCUAAUGGGCAGUAAAUGACGGACAGUGAAAGAAAAAAAAACAAGCAAACGCAAGCGAAGCACACUGACAUAGAGCCAAAUCCCAACAAAUGAAUCAUUCUGGAAAAGGCGGGGAUAAAUACUAUGUCUCAUCAGAGGUGGAAAGCAAAACUAAAGAGCCGCAAUCGUGCAGAAGGGUCUAGGCCAUCCAUUCCACGAUACCGUGAUUCCCCACGUGACAACACAAGCAGUGUCAUGCGCUACUAGCACACGGCAAAACCAACCGCCGUAUGUUUCUUAGCUCAUCCCUCUCGUCUGAAUUUGUGCUUGGGAAUAUGCAAUAUCUGACUUUCUUUUGCCUUUCGGCGAUUGCUGUAAGCCUGAAAACAUUUUUCUCGUGCUCAUUCUAUCUUUGCUUAACGCAGCGUGCACUUUUUGCCAACAUUAUUUCCGUUGAUUUAUUUACAAAUGUCAGAUUGCAUCUAUGCCUAUGCAAUGUAAGCAGUGCGGUGCUUAAGGUAAGCUUUACUAGAAGUAUCAAGUCUUCGUUAG